AUACGGAGGAUGCGAGCGUUAUCCGGAUUUAUUGGGUUUAAAGGGAGCGUAGGUGGGAUAUUAAGUCGGCUGUGAAAGUUUGGGGCUCAACCUUAAAAUUGCAGUUGAUACUGGUUUCCUUGAGUACGGUACAGGUGGGCGGAAUUCGUGGUGUAGCGGUGAAAUGCUUAGAUAUCACGAAGAACUCCGAUCGCGAAGGCAGCUCACCGGGACGGAACUGACACUGAUGCUCGAAAGUGCGGGUAUCAAACAGGAUUAGAUACCCUGGUAGUCCGCACAGUAAACGAUGAAUACUCGCUGUUUGCGAUACACGGUAAGCGGCCAAGCGAAAGCGUUAAGUAUUCCACCUGGGGAGUACGCCGGCAACGGUGAAACUCAAAGGAAUUGACGGGG
rnacentral:rRNA from 1 species